rnacentral:rRNA from 1 species
AUACGGAGGAUCCGAGCGUUAUCCGGAUUUAUUGGGUUUAAAGGGAGCGUAGGUGGACAGUUAAGUCAGUUGUGAAAGUUUGCGGCUCAACCGUAAAAUUGCAGUUGAUACUGGCUGGCUUGAGUACAGUAGAGGUGGGCGGAAUUCGUGGUGUAGCGGUGGAAUGCUUAGAUAUCACGAAGAACUCCGAUUGCGAAGGCAGCUCACUGGACUGCAACUGACACUGAUGCUCGAAAGUGUGGGUAUCAAACAGGAUUAGAUACCCUGGUAGUCCACACAGUAAACGAUGAAUACUCGCUGUUUGCGAUAUACAGUAAGCGGCCAAGCGAAAGCAUUAAGUAUUCCACCUGGGGAGUACGCCGGCAACGGUGAAACUCAAAUGAAUUGACGGGG